AUAUGUGAAACAAGGUGUCUUCAAUCUAAGAAUUGUCUGAGCUGAACUCUCGAAUUUCCAAUGCAUCACUGGCUGUUCGUGAAAAAUAUCAAUAUCUUGUGGAAAACAUGAUUAUGGCUCUGCCCUGAAGAAGCAAAUAUACUUUGCGAAACGUUG